ensembl:lncRNA
CAGAGAUGUGUGUGUCUGUGAGGGCCAGGGGCCCAGAGGUGUGUGUGUGUCUGUGAGGGCCAGGGGCCCAGAGGUGUGUGUGUGUGAGGUCCAGGGGCCCAGAGGUGUGUGUGUGUGAGGGCCAGGGGCCCAGAGGUGUGUGUGUCUGUGAGGGCCAGGGGCCCAGAGGUGUGUGUGUGUGUCUGUAAGGUCCUGAGGGCCACAGGCCAGGAGCCCAGAGGUGUGUGUCUGAGAAGCCCAAUGGAACGGACAGCUGAGUCGGGCUGAAACUGAAGAGGAGAGGGCACGAGUGCCGUACACGAGACCCAGGUUGGGAGUGUGUUGGGUGGGAGAAGAAACAGUCGUUUGUGAGAGGUUGUGCAGAUAUUCGAG